rnacentral:rRNA from 1 species
GACAGAGGGUGCAAACGUUGUUCGGAAUUACUGGGCGUAAAGCGCGUGUAGGCUGCUUGGAAAGUCGGGUGUGAAAGCCCUGGGCUCAACCCAGGAAGUGCACUCGAAACUUCCGAGCUCGAGUUCUGGAGAGGAUAGCGGAAUUCUCGGUGUAGAGGUGAAAUUCGUAGAUAUCGAGAGGAACACCGGUGGCGAAGGCGGCUAUCUGGACAGAAACUGACGCUGAGACGCGAAAGCGUGGGGAGCAAACAGG